rnacentral:rRNA from 1 species
UACAGAGGGGGCAAGCGUUAUUCGGAAUUAUUGGGCGUAAAGAGCUCGUAGGCGGUUUGUCGCGUCUGCUGUGAAGACCUAAGGCUCAACCUUGGGCUUGCAGUGGGUACGGGCAGACUAGAGUGCGGUAGGGGUGACUGGAAUUCCUGGUGUAGCGGUGGAAUGCGCAGAUAUCAGGAGGAACACCGAUGGCGAAGGCAGGUCACUGGGCCGCAACUGACGCUGAGGAGCGAAAGCAUGGGGAGCGAACAGG